CCUACGGGUGGCAGCAGUGGGGAAUAUUGCACAAUGGGGGAAACCCUGAUGCAGCGACGCCGCGUGAGUGAAGAAGUAUUUCGGUAUGUAAAGCUCUAUCAGCAGGAACGAGACAAGACGGUACCUGACUAAGAAGCCCCGGCUAACUACGUGCCAGCAGCCGCGGUAAUCCGUAGGGGGCAAGCGUUAUCCGGAAUCACUGGGUGUAAAGGGAGCGUAGACGGCUGUGCAAGCCUGAAGUGAAAGGCGGGGGCCCAACCCCAGGACUGCAUUGGGAACUGUACGGCUGGAGUGCAGGAGAGGUAAGUGGAAUUCCUAGUGUAGCGGUGAAAUGCGUAGAUAUUAGGAGGAACACCAGUGGCGAAGGCGGCUUACUGGACUGUAACUGACGUUGAGGCUCGAAAGCGUGGGGAGCAAACAGGAUUAGAUACCCGUGUAGUC
rnacentral:rRNA from 1 species